rnacentral:lncRNA from 1 species
AGGAGCCAAUAAAUAUGGGGCGACAAUAAAUAAAUGGUGUGGGCCUAGUGGCAUGGAGGACUCUUUUCCCAUCUGAAAUACUUCUAAGAUAAGGAAAUUAAUCAAAUAAAUUAGACCUAAUCUAAUUAGAUCAAAGGCAAUAGGUUAAGACUAGCUCAAAUUUAUUUGAACUAACCUAAUUGAAAAUUCGGGUUAAUACAAUGUGCUAGCAUAUCAAUUUAUCCUUUAGAAUUUAUAUUAAAUCUUAAUUAAAUUAGAUUAAGAUCAAAUCUCAAAGUAUGUGACCCAUUGGGAUCCAAAUCUAGCCAGUAGUGGACUCAGACUC